UGCCACAAGAUGGUGACACACACCUUUAAUCCCAGCACUUGAGAGGCAGAGGCAGGCAGAUCCUUGAGUUCCAGUCUAGACUGGUCUACAGGGUGAAUUCCAGGACAGCCAAGGCUACACAGAGAAACUUUUUCAAAAUAUCAAAGGGAGGGGAAGGAAAAUCCCAGAAAGAGGAAACAACCAGGGGAGGGACACAGGCCUUGGAAUACUCUGGGGAAAGCAGAUACUUUUUGUGAGAUGCCAAACACGUGGACGGGCCCAGAGUCUGAUAGGGAGGCAGUCCUUGGGAGAGAAGAUCCUAGAAAACCUCCAGCUCAGUCAGGAGAGUCCUUGUUUGGGACUCUGAGCGCCGACUGGAGGCAGCUGAGCCCACAGCAGCCAUCUAGGCGACUGUAAGUGAGGUAGAACCAUUCUAUUCUGCGGUGGGAGGGUAGGGGGUGGAGCCUUGGGAGGAGGGCAGCUGCCCUGAAGAAAGAAAGGGCACCGUUUGUGAUUGGUUGGAGAUUCUGGUCAGCCCUGCUGGCUCCUUGCUAACUUGGGGAAAAUGGGAGGAGGAUGGACUGUCACAGACAGAGCCUGGAUUACUUUUGGACAUUGUGAUUCUCAAGCUACCUGAGGGACAUCUGAAUCAUCAGGCUACAUCUGAAAGAGGAGAGUGUUUCCACGGUCGCCUCUACAGUAAAAUUACUUUCACCAAUAACAGAGAUAGACCUCACUGUGUAGCCAAGGAUGACCUUGAACUUCUCAUUCUCCAGCUCCCAACUUCCACAUGCUAGGACACGGGCAUGUGUCACUGUACCUGUUUUAUGCAGUACUAGGCACUAGUCAGGGCAUCACGGAUGCUUGGCAGAUGUGCUAACUGAACUGCAUAUUAUACCGUUAAUGUUAAAAAGUUCUAGUUUGCUUCUGUU